CGGAGCGGGCGUGCUACCAUGCAGUCGAGCGAGAAGUCCUUCGGGAUGAGUAAAGCGGCGCACGGGUGAGUAACACGUGGGUAACCUACCCUAAGGUCUGGGACAACUCGGGGAAACUCGAGCUAAUACCGGAUAAGACCACGGUACGAGAGUGCUGUGGGAAAAGCGGGGGACCUCUUCGGAGGCCUCGCGCCUGAGGCUGGGCCCGCGGCCCAUCAGCUAGUUGGCGGGGUAAUGGCCCACCAAGGCUAAGACGGGUAGCUGGUCUGAGAGGACGAUCAGCCACACUGGAACUGAGACACGGUCCAGACUCCUACGGGAGGCAGCAGUGGGGAAUAUUGCGCAAUGGGCGAAAGCCUGACGCAGCAACGCCGUGUGAGCGAUGAAGGCCUUCGGGUUGUAAAGCUCUGUCGGGAGGAAAGACGGCCUUGCCGGUAAACAAUCGGUGAGGUUGACGGUACCUCCAAAGGAAGCACCGGCUAACUCUGUGCCAGCAGCCGCGGUAAGACAGAGGGUGCAAGCGUUGUUCGGAAUCAUUGGGCGUAAAGCGCGCGUAGGCGGUUUUGUAAGUCGGACGUGAAAGCCCAGGGCUUAACCCUGGAAGUGCAUCCGAAACUGCAGGACUUGAGUACCGGAGAGGGUGGUGGAAUUCCUGGUGUAGAGGUGAAAUUCGUAGAUAUCAGGAGGAACACCCGUGGCGAAGGCGGCCACCUGGACGGUCACUGACGCUGAGGCGCGAAAGCGUGGGUAGCAAACAGGAUUAGAUACCCUGGUAGUCCACGCUGUAAACGAUGGGUACUAGGUGCUGUGGGUAUUGACCCCUGCAGUGCCGUCGCUAACGCAUUAAGUACCCCGCCUGGGAAGUACGGCCGCAAGGCUAAAACUCAAAGAAUCGAAUUCCCG
rnacentral:rRNA from 1 species